rnacentral:rRNA from 1 species
UACCAGCACCCCGAGUGGUCGGGACGUUUAUUGGGCCUAAAGCAUCCGUAGCCGGUUCUACAAGUCUUCCGUUAAAUCCACCUGCUUAACAGAUGGGCUACGGAAGAUACUAUGGAGCUAGGAGGCGGGAGAGGCAAGCGGUACUCGAUGGGUAGGGGUAAAAUCCGUUGAUCCAUUGAAGACCACCAGUGGCGAAGGCGGCUUGCCAGAACGCGCUCGACGGUGAGGGAUGAAAGCUGGGGGGAGCAAACCGGG